ACAUGCAAGUCGAGCGAACAGAUGAGAAGCUUGCUUCUCUGAUGUUAGCGGCGGACGGGUGAGUAACACGUGGGUAACCUACCUAUAAGACUGGGAUAACUCCGGGAAACCGGGGCUAAUACCGGAUAAUAUUUUGAACCGCAUGGUUCGAUAGUGAAAGACGGUUUCGGCUGUCACUUAUAGAUGGACCCGCGCCGUAUUAGCUAGUUGGUAAGGUAACGGCUUACCAAGGCGACGAUACGUAGCCGACCUGAGAGGGUGAUCGGCCACACUGGAACUGAGACACGGUCCAGACUCCUACGGGAGGCAGCAGUAGGGAAUCUUCCGCAAUGGGCGAAAGCCUGACGGAGCAACGCCGCGUGAGUGAUGAAGGUCUUCGGAUCGUAAAACUCUGUUGUUAGGGAAGAACAAAUUUGUUAGUAACUGAACAAGUCUUGACGGUACCUAACCAGAAAGCCACGGCUAACUACGUGCCAGCAGCCGCGGUAAUACGUAGGUGGCAAGCGUUAUCCGGAAUUAUUGGGCGUAAAGCGCGCGUAGGCGGUUUCUUAAGUCUGAUGUGAAAGCCCACGGCUCAACCGUGGAGGGUCAUUGGAAACUGGGAAACUUGAGUGCAGAAGAGGAGAGUGGAAUUCCAUGUGUAGCGGUGAAAUGCGCAGAGAUAUGGAGGAACACCAGUGGCGAAGGCGGCUCUCUGGUCUGUAACUGACGCUGAUGUGCGAAAGCGUGGGGAUCAAACAGGAUUAGAUACCCUGGUAGUCCACGCCGUAAACGAUGAGUGCUAAGUGUUAGGGGG
rnacentral:rRNA from 1 species